AAGUCGUAACAAGGUUUCCGUAGGUGAACCUGCGGAAGGAUCAUUAUCGAGUUCCUGCCCUCCGGGGUAGAUCUCCAACCCUUGCCUACCCAACCUCGUUGCUUUGGCGGGCCGUCCCUUCGGCCACCGGCUCCGGCUGGUGUGUGCCCGUCAGAGACUUAUACACGCUUUGAUCGUGUCGUCUGAGUCCUUUUAUAAUCGUUAAAA
rnacentral:misc_RNA from 1 species